rnacentral:rRNA from 1 species
UACGUAGGGUGCAAGCGUUGUCCGGAAUUAUUGGGCGUAAAGAGCUCGUAGGCGGUCUGUCGCGUCGGAUGUGAAAACCCAGGGCUCAACCCUGGGCCUGCAUUCGAUACGGGCAGACUAGAGUUCGGUAGGGGAGACUGGAAUUCCUGGUGUAGCGGUGAAAUGCGCAGAUAUCAGGAGGAACACCAAUGGCGAAGGCAGCUCGCUGGGACGGUACUGACGCUGAGGCGCGAAAGCGUGGGGAGCAAACAGG